rnacentral:rRNA from 1 species
UACGUAGGGUGCAAGCGUUGUCCGGAAUUAUUGGGCGUAAAGAGCUCGUAGGCGGUUUGUUGCGUCGGCUGUGAAAUCCCGAGGCUCAACCUCGGGUCUGCAGUCGAUACGAGCAAACUAGAGUGUUGCAGGGGAGACUGGAAUUCCUGGCGUAGCGGUGAAAUGACGCAGAUAUCAGGAGGAACACCGGUGGCGAAGGCGGGUCUCUGGGCAACAACUGACGCUGAGGAGCGAAAGCGUGGGGAGCGAACAGG